rnacentral:rRNA from 1 species
CCUACGGGUGGCAGCAGUGGGGAAUAUUGGACAAUGGGGGGAACCCUGAUCCAGCCAUGCCGCGUGUGUGAAGAAGGCCCUCGGGUUGUAAAGCACUUUCAGUGAGGAAGAACGCCUGGUGGUUAAUACCCAUCAGGAAAGACAUCACUCACAGAAGAAGCACCGGCUAACUCCGUGCCAGCAGCCGCGGUAAUACGGAGGGUGCGAGCGUUAAUCGGAAUUACUGGGCGUAAAGCGCGCGUAGGUGGCUUGAUAAGCCGGUUGUGAAAGCCCCGGGCUCGACCUGGGAACGGCAUCCGGAACUGUCAAGCUAGAGUGCAGGAGAGGAAGGUAGAAUUCCCGGUGUAGCGGUGAAAUGCGUAGAGAUCGGGAGGAAUACCAGUGGCGAAGGCGGCCUUCUGGACUGACACUGACACUGAGGUGCGAAAGCGUGGGUAGCAAACAGGAUUAGAUACCCGAGUAGUC